AUGUGAUCAUGGUUGUCUUCUUGGUUGUGAACCAGGUCACCACAGGAGCCACCGACAUCGCAGCCACUCCAAGUCUCCAGAGAGGAGUUCAAAAAAGAGCCACAAGAAGAGUCGGAGAAACGAGUGACCUCCUUUUUACUGAACAUCUUUUUCUUUUUCCAUUGGAGCCUCGUAUGAAACGUGACUUCUGUUUUUAUGAUCGUGUCGUUCUGAGUCUGUGAAGCUUUUGUUUCAAACCUUUUCUGUUGAUUGAGUUAAUAAAGAUUCUGAUCGAUUGGU